CUGGGGAAUAUUGGACAAUGGGCGCAAGCCUGAUCCAGCAAUACCGCGUGUGUGAAGAAGGCCUGAGGGUUGUAAAGCACUUUCAAUAGGGAGGAAAACCUGUCGGCCAAUACCCGGCAGCUUGACAUUACCUAUAGAAGAAGCACCGGCUAACUCCGUG
rnacentral:rRNA from 1 species